rnacentral:lncRNA from 1 species
AAACUGGGCUGUCUUUUGCCAUUUUCGUCAUUUUCAGUUCAUUUUUGUAAAAACUAAGCUCAAAAAUGGAAUCUACGCGAAAAAUCGAGUGAGAGAGUGUAUUUUGGUAAUUUUCUACGACCGGAGAGGUCGCCGGCGACCGGCAUUUCAGCUAGCCAGGCAAGAAGAAGAAGAAACCGAAGGGGAGGAAGAAGAAAGAAAAGAAAAAGAAGAGAAAAGAAAAAGUGUUUGGGCUAAAUUUUAUUUUUUUUGGUGGGCUAGAGUUCCUCUUUUCGGGUAUUCGUUUGGGCUGAAGGGAUUUUUGGCACAGAAAAUAAACAAAAUUUGGCCCAGUGCCCUUGUUUCCUAAGACACCAGAAACAGAUUUUGCAAAUAAGUCCCUGAUCUUUGGAGUAAUUUUACUGCAGCCUAGAACAUUUUAAAUUUCUUUCACUUGGGUCCUUAAAUUAAUUGCAUUUGGUCCCUGAACUUUAUCUUUU